CUGGUGGUCUAGUGGUUAGG
rnacentral:piRNA from 1 species